UGGAUUGAGCCUUGGUACGGAAAAUCCGUCGACUUUAGAAAUCGUGAGGGUUCAAGUCCCUCUAUCCCC
rnacentral:tRNA from 1 species